rnacentral:rRNA from 1 species
GUCCACGCCGUAAACUAUGAAUACUAAGUGUCGGCGGGUUACCGCCGGUGCCGCAGCUAACGCAUUAAGUAUUCCGCCUGGGAAGUACGGCCGCAAGGUUGAAACUCAAAGGAAUUGACGGGGCCGCACAAGCGGUGGAGCAUGUGGUUUAAUUCGACGCAACGCGAAGAACCUUACCCAGGCUGGACAUGCAGGUAGUAGAAGGGUGAAAGCCCACGAGGUAGCAAUACCAUCCUGCUCAGGUGCUGCAUGGCUGUCGU